ensembl:snRNA U7 U7 small nuclear RNA
CAGCGUUACAGCUCUUUUAGGAUUUGUACAGCAGGUUUUCUGGUUUCUACCAGAAAACCCCA